AAGGUAAUGUAUCCAAAAGUGGCAGAUGUCCAAUGUUGGCACUGCUCACAGCUACCUGGGGCUAUCACAUACCUUCGCUGUGACUUGCAGCCUUUACCACUAUAACGCUGAGCCUUCUUUAGUUAUGUCUCUUUUAUACAUAAGAGAGUUUCAUCAUACUUGUCGAUAUAAUGUGCCAUUUAUAAUUGGUUCCAAUUAUUAACGGAUGUUUGCAGCUGUUUCUUCUCAUUUUGAGUCGUGCCACAUCAGCAAAUGAAGGUCCCGAAAGCUUUACUCCAUCUACAUCAUUAAGGCCGACACUACUUUGAGGAGGCAGCUCUUCACCAGUCAUCUUUUGAGUGCCUUCCAUCCUGGGGGGCUCAUCUUCCAGCACUAUGUGAGACAAUGUUCCGCUGCUAUUCAUACAUAAGGUUUUCACUGGCUAAUGCUUUUCAGAAGUAGCCUUCCAGGUCCUUCUUCCUAGUCUGUCUUAGUCUGGAAGCUCAACUGAAACCCGUCCUCCAUGGGUGACCCUGCUGGUAUCUGAAUACCGGUGGCGUAGCUUCCAGCAUCACAGCAACACGCAAGCCCCCACAGUACAACAAACUGACAAUUCAUAGUUAGUGUUUCAAAUGAUCAUCUUCAGGAAGAGCUUAUAAAGUUCAGAUGCACUGUAUUAUUUGUAUGUUAUUUAAAUAGGCUCCCCCUGUAUAUAUACAGUAUUUCCUGUGUUACACAGACUCUCCUCUGACAAUACGGACAUUGUUAUCUGUUACAGUUUGAAUUGUGUCCUGCCAAAAUAUGUGUUGUAAAUCCUAACCCCUAUACCUAGGGUUAUAAUCCCAUUUGGGAAUGGAUUUUCUUUGUUAUGUUAAUGAAACAGUAUUACUGUAGGGUAUGUCUCGAGCCAAUCUCUUUUGAGAUAUAAAAGGAGCAAAUUAAACAAGCGGGGGGGAAGGGGGAGAUAGAUGCCAUGCCACAUGAAGAUCAUCUAGGAGCCAAGGAAGAGAAGCUGAAAAGAGACAAUUAUCUUCCCCCAGAGCAGACAGCAAAAGCCUUCCCCUAAAGCGGCCACCCUGAUUUUGGACUGCUAGCCUCCUAAACUGAGAAAAUAAACUUCUGUUUGUUAAAGCCACCCACUUUUGGUAUUUCCGUUAUAGCAGCACUAAACCGCACUAGAUGACUAAAAUACCAUUCUGAGCAACAAUAAAAUCUAAUGUGGUAAAUACUGGCUAUCUUAGGCUGGGUUCUCUAGAGAAGCAAAACCAGUAAAGCAUCUGUCUGUCUCUCUGUCUAUCUGUCUGUCUGUCUACACACACACAGAGAGAUAGAAAGGUUUAUCUCAAGGAAAUGGCUUAGCUGGUUGUAGGGGCUGGUAAGUCUCAAGUGCACGGGUCAGGUGGCGGGCUGGAGUCGUCUCCAGAUUUAUGUAGCUGAAGGGGCUGACAAACUUGAUUGGCAGUUGAGCUGGCAAGCCACUAGCUCAUGUCCCAAGAGCCAGAGGUCAGAUGAUGAUGAGCUGGAUGCAGAAUCCAGAUCAGGCAAAAGCCAAUGUGUGUUUUCCAGAACACCCACAUAUAUUGGAUGCAGGCCAUAACCCUGAGGAAAUGUCCCUUACAACUGAUUGGCUGAUCACAUCAUGGAGGUGAUUACAUUAUAUCACAAAAUGGAGGAUAACUACAUCAUUAUGUAACUGCCAAGUUACAUCAUUACCAUAACUGCCCAACCACUGAGAAUCAUGGCACAGCCAAGUUCACACAAUCUUAACCAUCACAGCUCAUCCCUUGUCAAUUUGGCACCUGUACACACCUCCUUAAAUCAUACACAACCUCUAAAUAAAGACAAUUACAGAGUCAUACUUGAGGUUAACACGAUACAAUUAACACGCAUACAACUGAAAAUAUCCUAGCUCCGUUUACAUCUUAUAUGUUGUAAGUAAAGAAAACAAGAAAUAUUUGAUGCACACAUUCAAGGAAGAUAUACUCAUAACAAUUAUAGUCCUCAUUUCUACAACUGGUCAUGUAGUCAUAACUGGUAUUUAGGACUACCUUCUUUCACCACCCAUUCUGUAUUCCCUUUGCCCUCAGUAAGCAGCUCAGCGGGUCAUGGUUCUUUGCCUGGUGGGGUGACCCAAACUUUUAUUCCUGAAGGGUCUGGGUGAUUAGCAGUCAUGUUGGAAUUGGGUUCCAACAUGUAGUUUUCCACUGACUUUAAUCACAGGGCAUGGUAGUACUAAGAGACAUCCUAAGGGAUCUCCUGUAUUCCAGGUAUACGCUUCUUUAUCUCCAUUAUGUAAUACCAAUCCUAUUUCCCUUUGAUAACCAGGAUCAAUCACAGCAGCCAAUACAGUAACUCCCUUCUUUGCCUGUUACUCCAGAGGAAUGAGAAACACAAACUAUCUGCGUGGGACUCUUAGGAAGAAGAACACAGCCACUGAUAAGCCACAGCCCAGCAGGGAGAGAGAUGGGGGCUAAGCACCACAACAUCUCUCUCGUUCCACAUUCUAAUCUCCUACCAGUGCCAUCCACUAGUUACCCAACCAGAAGCCAGAAGACAAGGGAGCCUGGAUGAUGCAGUCUGUACGAGGUAGUCACCCUGGGGAAGAGCAGAGAAGUGCUAGGGUGAGGCAAGUGAGGCACUCGCCUUAGUGCAAAAAAUACUUAAGAGGGCACCCAAAACCUCAGCAAUCAAGAUAAAUCAUAUUUUAGUGCAAUGUUUUUAAAAAUCAAAAUUAACGCAACAAAAUCCAUGAUGAAUGAAGUAUUAACACAUAUUUUGUAAAAGACAGAAUCUGGCCCUGUACUUUCACAUCUCAACUAGUCUCAUUUCUAAACAGAUCUGAAGAGGAAAUACAGAAAACCCGAAAUGUGGGGAACUUUAUAGGACAAAUAUCCCAGGUUUUCAAUAAAUAUAUUGUACAGAAAAAAGAAAAAGAAGGGGGCUGUGGCCUUUGUUUGGAUUUUAAUUUAAACAAAUAAACUAAAAUAGUGUGUAAAAAUACAUCAUGAGGCAAUCUGGGACAUUUGAACUUUGACAGAAUAUUCUAUGAUAUUAACGAAUGAUUAUUUUAGAUGUGAAAAUUGUAUUACAGUUACAUAUAAAAUAAAAACCUUUAACACUUAGUGAUACUAAAUAUACUAAUAUACUUAUGGAUGAAAUGAUAAAAGUUAGAAGGGAGGAAGCCAUAGAUGCAAUAUAGUUGAAGCAAGAUAAGUCAUUGUUGAAGCUGGAUGAGUGUCCUUGGGGUUUAUUUUACUGUUCUAUAUACUUUUCAAUAAUGUUAUUUAUUUUUAAAGUUGAUCUUAAAUAACAAUUUUAUUCCCAUAACUUCAGGCUCAGAGCAGGGAGAGGUCAAUUUACUAUAGCUUCAGACAUUGAUAUGGGUACCGUACAUUUCUUACUCAGGUCUCUCCACUUCUCCUUCACAGAGUUCAUUGUAAGAGUCAUCCCAAUAAUGUUCCCCCCAUUGUACUUACAGAGAUGGCAGAGUUUGUUGUUCACCAGCCAUCUCUGAGGUGCUACAGUUCUCACUAGUCCCCAGGAUGUCUGGUUUCUUAUUCCGCUUAAGUAAAGCACAGUGCAGGCUGCCUGCAGUUAAUGGCCUAGUGGGCUGUUUAAAACUUUUUUUUUUUUUUUCUUGCCUGUUUCUGCCUUGAACAGACAGGUUCCCCAAAGAGGCCUGAAAAACACCCAUAGCACAGAAGUCUCCAGCUUUUAGCAUCAAAUAAAAAGGCUCCCAUAAAACAUCUGUCCAAGUUUGGUCCCUCAGCAGCCAUAAUUUCUUGUCUCUAACCAGCUCCACUGUGUCCCUCAUGAUGCAUAACAGAUUGUACUAAAGAUUCAGGGUAAUGGACAAGAAUUACAGUAAAGCACAAAAAAGGCAACAACUUUAAAUAGAAUAAUAGCAGUCUCUGUGCCUCGAAGCCCCUUGGCUAUCCUGCCAGCCCUGACAAUUUCUCCUCAGGGCUUGGUUUCAUGCCUUCGCUGUUCCAAGAUUUCUCCGACAUCUCAGUAUCUGGAUCUCCAUUACUGAUUCAGAAGAAAACAAAAAAUCCUUGUUUUUUUUUUUUAAUAUGCAAAGCAUUAAACUCUUCUUUGUCUGAACCGGACAAAGAAUGGGCCAAAAUCGAUUCACAUGCUUCCCUAAACAGAGGUGUAACUGUCUUCCAAACAGGAAUUCCACCUUCCUCCUAGGCCAACAAGCUCAAAUUGUUGCUUCCCUCCAAGAAUAACAAGUUUUUUAAAUAACUUUUUUUUUUUUCCUUACACAAUAAUUCUGUCUCAGCUGCCGUAGACACCACAAUCUGUGGUACACAUUUACGUAAUAAAAUGAGGUCAAGCUAUGUGCAUAGGAAGAGAGCAGCCAGAUCUGAGCAAACAUAUUCACAAUCAAUAUAAGCAGAAACUAAGUAGCUCUUUACAGUUACUUUGUUUUACUUUGUGCUUAGGAUGCUUAAAAUUGACUUAAAAUACCUCUAAGUGGUAAGGAGUGGGUCCUCAAGGAUCUUCAGUGAUUUCAAUCAGAAAUUAAGGAAGGUAAUGUCUUGGUCCCUUGUUCUAUAUAGUCUUUUGUCCUGUUUCUAUCCUUCUUUUUUUCUUUGUAGGUUCUUUACCUUGUUAGUGCAGUCAGUUGAGUCCUCUUGACUUAGUAUGUCAAUCAGCAAAAACUGAUCAGUGGCUUUGAACCCCAGUUCCAAAGUACUGUGAGAAAGAUUUCAGUUAGCCUAAGAAGCCAAGGUGUCCAUCCUCAGAGAGAACACCUGUGGCCAGGGGAAGAAGGCAAGGUUACAUAUUACAGAUAUGGCUGCUGGAGUUCACGGAGGAUAGUCUGCAGAGGAGUAUACGGACUGACAGAAAACCCAGUAUGUACCUAUUAUUAGACUAUGUCUUCAUUGCAUUUGAAAUCUUUUGUAUAAUAAACCUGUUUGAAUUACAAAGAGCGCUGGUGGCUCCGUGAUUAAGCGUUUGGCUGCUAACUGAAAAGCCAGCAGUUCAAACCCACCAUGAGCUUUUCUUCAGAAAGAAGGUGCAGUCUGCUUUCAUAAAGAUACAGCCUUGGUAACCCUGUAGGGCAGUUCUAGUCUGUCCAAUAGGGUCACUAUGAGUCAGAAUUGACUCAAUGGCAAGAGGUUUGGUUUGGUUUUGAGUCUGAAUUACAGUCGCAAAAGUAGACAGACACACUCUUUCAGCCUACCCUUCCAGAACAAAACUCUUUUGUUCUUCAGUGGCCUGACAAAUACAGAAUUUGUGUAGAAUCAAGAGAGUGUCUUUUGCAGCCUUAACCCCUAAAAUCUUGGCUCCUCUAAAUAGAUUUGUUUUUAUCAAAUGCUGACUAUGUGACAGGCACUGUUCUAAGCACUUCACAAUUAUUUUACCUAAUGGUUGUAAAAUGGUGUUGUUUUUCUUCUGGAUCAUUCUCACACGUGUGAACGGCUGACAGUUCUUUCCCCCGGCAGCUGGUCCGCUGUUCCGGGCGUGAUGACCCUGAUGUAGGCUGCCCCUUGACCUGAUAAAGUCCAUGUGGUCUCUAACUUAAAAAGUGAAAUGUCACCUACCAGAAAGCUAGAGGAAGAGGUUCCAGAAAAUUACAGGUGAGAUUUAAGACUCCUGGUGCCAAUAUCUUCUGGGAAAAUGGGCAGAAGGAAAGCUCCUUGAGGGAAGAAAAAAAGGGGCAACAGCCAAGACUGACAAGCAGCCAUAGCGGGAAGCAGAAGCUGGCUGUGCCCUGCCAUGCGGAGUUCAGGGAGUUCAGGGAUGUUCCCUGAACAGUCGUAUAAUAAUCACCUCCAGAAGAGAUCUGAUAUAAUGUGAUCACCUCUAUGAUGAGAUCUGCAGUGAUUAGCCAAUCAGUUAAAACGACGUUUCCUUGGGGGUGUGGCCUGCAUUCAGUAUAGGUGGACUUUCUGACAAGGCUCUCAGGCUUUUGCUUGCUCUGGACCCUGCAGCUGGCUCCUGUUCCACCGACAUCCAGGUCUUGGGACUUGAGCUCGCAGCUACCUGCCUGAGGCAGACGCCUUACAAGACAAUACUGACUCUUCUAAAUCUAUAACCAGACUUGAGUUCCAGUGAGCCCCAAAAGGUGAAGUACAAAGUGACCCAGGAGGAGGUACACUACACUUCAAAAGAACUGCAACUUUUCUAAUAUGUACAAACAGAAACCUGGAGGAUAUGUGUCGGAAUGGCUAUU